rnacentral:tmRNA from 1 species
GGGGGCGUACCGGGUUCGACGGGGGACAACUGGGCUGGCGGCAGCGUGUCGUGGUCCGUCGCCACGUAAAACAGGCGGAAACACACAGCUGCCAACGCUGAACUCGCUCUGGCUGCUUAAUUGACAGCCACGCCGACACCAAGGGGUCGCGGCCCGAGACCCGGUGAAGGCGAAGCAAUCGGGCUAGGGUUUCCGGGGUGCUUGGGACCGGAAGCCGACACCAACGCAAGCUGGCUCCGCCGGUAGGGCGCUUGCUCCCGGCCAGCGGGGCGAGAGAACAAAGCAAGCUGCACACGGAGACACCGCCGGCACAGGUCCUUCGGACGGGGGUUCGAUUCCCCCCGCCUCCACCA